UACGUAGGUGACAAGCGUUGUCCGGAUUUACUGGGCGUAAAGAGCGCGCAGGCGGUCGUUCAAGUCGAGUGUGAAAGCCCCCGGCUCAACUGGGGAGGGUCACGCGAUACUGCUCGACUUGAAGGCAGGAGAGGGAAGUGGAAUUCCCGGUGUAGUGGUGAAAUGCGUAGAUAUCGGGAGGAACACCAGUGGCGAAGGCGACUUCCUGGCCUGUUCUUGACGCUGA
rnacentral:rRNA from 1 species